GUACUAGCUACGGCAGUACAUAUUCUAAUAUUGGAAUGACACAGAGAAGAUUAGCAUGGCCCCUGAGCAAGGAUGACACAUAAAUUUGUGAAGCAUUCCAUAUUUUC